rnacentral:lncRNA from 1 species
GGGCUCCGAGCCCAGCUCCACUGGCCCCGGCCGCGGGGCUCGCCCCUCCGUCCCCAAACGACCGUCUCCGCUGCCAUGAGAUGCCGACAGCCUGUGCGCUGGCCGCCACCCCCUGCUCCAUCAGGUGCUGGAAUCUGAGUAAAAGCCUGGGCGCGAGCUCCCAGCCCCGGGGCCUGCCACCGGCUCCACGAAGCGGGCAGCUCCAGCGGCCGCCGGGAGAAGGAAGGGCGACCGGGGGAGACGGGUCGCAGGGACAGCACGUGGCGGAAAGUUAGCCCCGGACUAGCACGCCCCACCCGGAGAAGCCGGCCUGGAAGGGGCUGCGGACCACCAGGCGGAGCGGUGGGCGACCGAAGUGCGGCUGGGCUGGCCUCCUCGUCUCCGCACUGGAAGAAUUGCCCUUCCGCAAGUCUUCCCUUCCCACAUGGGGGCCCUCCAGGCCGCACCUCGGUCGCCCACCGCUUCCCUUGAGAAGGGAGACUAAAGACAGGCAUCUGGAAGCUGUCACUGUGGCGCGCGGGCAGACAGGGGAUCCCAUUGGAGAGGAAGAGCCGUAGUAGUCGCUGCUGCCUUCGGCCGACCCAACGGCCGCCUGCUUGGGAGGAAGAAAAAGAACGCCCCCGCUGAAGAAUUAAGGCAGCCAUUGGUUGCUCUAGGGGUAAGGACCGAGGCCUCCCCUGGGUGUCACUGGAGCAGCCACACGUGGGGGAUCAGCCGACUUCAUUCGAUCGCUGGCGACAGACCCGGCGACCCGUAGGAAUGCGCGCUGGGGCUGCGGCUGGAGGGCGUGGCGACGGCAACAGGCGGGUGGCUCGAGUGGGUGCGACUCUGGGCGCGUGGGACUGAGAACUCCUCCGCCGUGGGGAAGAUUUUUUUCCCAGCAGAUGUUGGGGUGUUACUGCGUGUCUGAGGGGCCGGCGGAAUGGAGGGGUCCCGGUGCGUGCAGGGCAGCGAGGUGUGUCAGAUGAGCUGUGGAUCCCUGCGGCCCCACGUGGGCCGGAGAGGGGGGCCCACGACAACAAGCGAUUGAGGACAGCGAUGGACAGGGCGGGGAACCAGCUGGGUGGAAGCACAGGGAGUGUGGUGAGGAGGGAAGGGCUGUGAUCUGCCCUCGGUACGACGCCCCAAGGGACAGCCUGGCCUCCUGAAUUAGGGAAAAGACAACCGGUCUCUUUAGACGGGCGCCUCAGAGUCUGACCUGAGUCUUCAAACGCCCAGAUCCCCUGGGGCCUUGAGUCUCCCUGUCCCGCUGGCCCUGCCUCGCCUGCGCUUCAGGACUCCGACGCCCCCGCAGCCUUGGGCUAAGGGUCAGUCGUCCCCGGGCGCGGGUCCGGCUGCCCUGGAACUGAUGCUGGAUUUCGCUGGGUUACAAGAUGGGCAGUACAAUAGAGGAUGGACUGGAGUUGGAAAAGACUAAAGCAGCAAGUUUGAUAAGGAGGCUACAGCAAUAGUCCAGGUGAAAGACGCAAGAGCCCAAAAUGCAGCAGUGGCCAAGGGAAUGGAUCUGAGAUAAAGUUCAGAAGAUAGAGUUGGCAGGGCAGGUGAGUUUAUCUUUAAUCCAGGAGAAGAGAAGAAGGCCACAUGAAGAUGGAGCAAGAGAUUGGAGUGAUGUGGCCACAAGCCAAGGAAGCUGAGGAAUGAAGACAGCUAUCAGAAGCUGGAAGAGGAAAAGAAUUCUCUCUUGGGGUCUGCAGAGGGAGAACAGCCCUGCCAACACUUCCAUUUCCAAUGUCUGGACUCUAGAACUGUGAGAAAAUAAAUUCCCAUUAUUUUAAGGAA